GAUGAACGCUAGCUACAGGCUUAACACAUGCAAGUCGAGGGGAAACGACAUCGAAAGCUUGCUUUUGAUGGGCGUCGACCGGCGCACGGGUGAGUAACGCGUAUCCAACCUGCCCAUCAUUUGAGAAUAACCUUGCGAAAGUAAGACUAAUACCCAAUGACAUCCCACGAAGACAUCUGAAUGGGAUUAAAGAUUUAUCGGUGAUGGAUGGGGAUGCGUCUGAUUAGCUUGUUGGCGGGGUAACGGCCCACCAAGGCAACGAUCAGUAGGGGUUCUGAGAGGAAGGUCCCCCACAUUGGAACUGAGGCACGGUCCAAAAUCCUACGGGAGGCAGCAGUGAGGAAGAUUGGUGACUGGGCGAGAGCCUGAACCAGCCAAGUAGCGUGCAGAAUGACGGCCCUAUGGGUUGUAAACUGCUUUUAUAAGGGAAUAAAGUGUGUCUCGUGAGACUUUUUGCAUGUACCUAAUGAAUAAGGACCGGCUAAUUCCGUG
rnacentral:rRNA from 1 species